GUGAACGCUGGCGGUAGGCCUAACACAUGCAAGUCGAACGGCAGCACAGUAAGAGCUUGCUCUUACGGGUGGCGAGUGGCGGACGGGUGAGGAAUACAUCGGAAUCUACUUUUUCGUGGGGGAUAACGUAGGGAAACUUACGCUAAUACCGCAUACUACCUACGGGUGAAAGUAGGUGAUCUUCGGACCUUUCGCUAUUGAAUGAGCCGAUGUCGGAUUAGCUAGUUGGCGGGGUAAAGGCCCACCAAGGCGACGAUCCGUAGCUGGUCUGAGAGGAUGAUCAGCCACACUGGAACUGAGACACGGUCCAGACUCCUACGGGAGGCAGCAGUGGGGAAUAUUGGACAAUGGGCGCAAGCCUGAUCCAGCAAUACCGCGUGGGUGAAGAAGGCCUUCGGGUUGUAAAGCCCUUUUGUUGGGAAAGAAAAGCAGCAGGUUAAUACCCCGCUGUUCUGACGGUACCCAAAGAAUAAGCACCGGCUAACUUCGUG
rnacentral:rRNA from 1 species